ensembl:lncRNA
GUGAUUAUCUACGGUAGUCUGUACAUUUCCUCUCAGACUAUGUUGGGGGGGUGCAAGGAUAGAUGAUUCGUUUUAGGUGUUAAGCGUCAUCCAACAUGGGGCAUCGGUCAGAAUGCCAGGUAGAGGAAUGAUGAGGAGACGAUGGGCUUGGUUAUCGAAUUGUAUUCUUAGAGAAGCUGAGACUGUGCAGAUAACGGUGGCUGAUGAAGUGGCUGAUGAAGUCAUCAACAGUACCAUGAGCAUCUGUCUGGAGGGGUCUGAAGAGAAACCUCUGGGUAAGUACAGAAAAUGAGAAGAUUGUGAGAUGAAAAUAACACAUUUAGUCAAUAUUAAAGCUUAACAUGAGCCCUUAUCUGUCUGAAUUCAUUCACGAUCAUCUAGUGAGCUCCAACCCUGACACAGGUAAAGUCAUCAGAGAGCUCCUGGACAUCCUAUUUGAUGAUGCCCUGUCAGCGAGUCUCUAGCUUCUGGGUGAGUAAAAGAAAUAAACAUAUUACAAUGAUAAUGAAAGAGCUGGGAAACUGACCGUAUUCAUUUAUAUUAAGGCAGAAAAUGAGCUUAUGGACACCAACCUGGGUAAGUAAAGGAAAUCACCAGAGAGUGAGAUGAUAACACAUUUAGUGAGUAUAAAAGCUUUAAUCUAAAUUCCUUCAAGAUCAUCUAGUGAGCUCCAACAAAGAUGCAGCUGAUGCCAUCAGAGAGCUCCUGGAGAUCAUGCUUCAUGAUGUUUUGUCAGCGAGUUUCCAGCCUCUGGAAGACGAUCAGGUGCUGAAGAUGACAGUGAAGCCAAUGACGAGCAAACGCACCCUGACCUGGAGAAGUCAGAGCCCACCAAUAUCCAUCCUUUGGCAGGAGAUGAGUGGCCGAAGCUGAAGGACCAUGUAGCUGAGGAACAUCUGGACCUCACAGAGGCUUCAGACAGUGAUGACCAGCCUCUGGACAUAAAGAAAAGCCACCCUCCUGAGGAAGAAGACACCAACAAGAGAAAAACUAGGAGAGGAACAAGAGGAAAAGGGCGGAAAAUCAUCUAUAAUAAAGAAAAACAUCCAAAUGACAAACUAGAUGGACAGAGAGGUUCAAGAGGUUCUUCUGGACAGACAAACAACGUAAAGAACUGCGGUCAUGAAAACAGGGAGAUGGUCCGUCCCAAACGGGUGCAGUUAGAGUGAGAUGGUGAAUCUGAUGAUGUCCUACAUACGUUCACAGUCUGGAAGACAGGAUGGACUGAGAGAACAGCAACAGAAGGACUCCACUGGUGGCAGGACUACAUAAAGAACCGUGGUGUUGAUCACAGUUGGGCGCAGGAAGAGAUGGGUGACGGAUAUGAUGCAGUGCAGUUCAACCUCACAUACUGGAGGACAGGAUUUUUUCUGAAUGGCACAAAUGAACAUCUAAGACCGGGGAGAUGGACAGAGAGAGAGAGAGACAAAGAACCAGAGAGAGACAGAGAACCCAAGAGAGACAGAGAACCUGAAGAAAAAAUUAUGCACUCACACAAAUACAAUCACACACACCACUGACACACACACACACCACUGACACACACCCACACACCACCAACACACACUCUCUCACACACACAUACACACACACCACCAACACACACUCUCUCACACACACACAAAUUUUCUAAGCUGCUCAUCCUUCAGGUUACAGGGGAUGCUAGAGUCUAUCUCAGUGCUCACUGGGCAAAAAGCAGGCAGCAGCUUGGACAGAUCACCAGUCCAUCACAGCAGACCAGAAUCUCUAAAUAAUUAAACAGGAAAAAAUCUAAACGUUUCAUUUUUUGUUAACAUUUUUUAUUUUAUUUUAUUAUUAUUAAAAAGUAAUAUCUAUAAUAUGGAAACAUGGAACAUCAGAGAUGUAUUCACAUAAAACCUCAAAAUUAAGAUAAGAGCAAAAGCUCUAUGCUAAAUGAUUAGAAGAUGAAGAAAUGAGGCAUGACAGCAGUGCACUGUGACUGAGUGUAUGAGCUGCAUUAUGGGUGGAGCUGUGUAUCUCAGCAGAGAGCUACACUGAUCCCAUUCAGCUCUGACUGCUCUCAGUCACUUCACAUCUCUAUCAACAUGCUGCUCUCUAUCCUUUUUCUCCUAGCACUGCUUUUAGGUAAGAGAACAUUUAUGGCACUUCUUUCUAACUGUUUUGAGAUAAUAAACGAUCUGUAUAGUAAUACAUUUAAAUU